GCUGUUAUGAAAACUGAAACAAGCCAGACGAGCAGGAAGACACGGAAACUUGGAAGAUUUGUAAAGUUGUUUCGUAGAUUUUUCAGAAACUCUAAGAGAGGCGUGUCUUUGUCCUGUCACUCACCCCCGGCGGAGGAAGAUGGGUGGCUGUACGACAGAGUCUCUAGAACUCUGGUCUGGAUGGGAUAGAAGUCAUCCGUUUAGAUGUGUGAAUUUUUUUGGAUUUAAUUUUACAUUGGCUGGAUCAAGGUCACGUGAUGAAACUCCUUUUUCUUCUUCUUUUCCUCGUUAUCAGCCUUUAUCAUGACGUCAGAGCUAUAAAACAAGAGUGUUUCCUGCCGUCCUAUGAGGGACAGUACAUGAGUCUCCACAUCUUCUGGUACUACAGCCCCACCCUGGGACGGUGCGUCAGGAGGAUGUACGGCGGCCCCGCAGUCCCGGGACUUAACCACUUCGAUUCCCUGGAAGACUGCCAACAGACCUGUAUGGACUAAAAGUUAAACACUCUUCACCAAUAGCACAGCACGAAAAAAUGGACUUAUUCAAAUCUUUGAAAGCCAAUGGUCGAUAUACCUAAAAAAAAAAACUGGACUUUUUUAAAUACAUCUUUGGAAACCCAUGGGGGAUAUCUACCUAUGUCGGUUUCAUACAUAUAAAAAAAAUCUUAUCUGUGGAUUUAUAUUCAAAAUUUAACAUGUUUUAAACAUAUGAGGGUUUUGAGAAAGAGACUUCCAAAACUUUUGUUCCCCAAGCCAUACAUAACAUUAGAAGAUUUUUUUUCUUUUGGUUUUCAUAAUUUCUCUUUAUCAUGUCCAGAAAUGAAUCUUACAUUUUGCAUUUAUAUUUAAAAUUAUGAAACUCAAUAUAUUUUUUUCUAAAUGAG